AGAGUUUGAUCGUGGCUCAGAAUCAACGCUGGCGGCGUGCCUAACACAUGCAAGUCGAACGCGAAAGCCCCGCAAGGGGUCAGUAGAGUGGCAAACGGGUGAGUAACACGUAGGUGACCUGCCUCAGAGUGGGGGAUAACGACCCGAAAGGGUCGCUAAUACCGCAUAACAUCCCGCGUUUGGAGACGUGGAGAUCAAAGCCGGGGAUCGCAAGACCUGGCGCUUAGAGAGGGGCCUGCGGCCGAUUAGCUAGUUGGUGAGGUAACGGCUCACCAAGGCAACGAUCGGUAUCCGGCCUGAGAGGGCGGACGGACACACUGGGACUGAGACACGGCCCAGACUCCUACGGGAGGCAGCAGUGGGGAAUUGUUCGCAAUGGGCGCAAGCCUGACGACGCAACGCCGCGUGGAGGACGAAGAUCUUCGGGUCGUAAACUCCUUUCGAUCGGGAAGAACGUUUUCCGGCUUAACACGCUGGAGAAGUGACGGUACCGAGAGAAGAAGCCCCGGCUAACUCUGUGCCAGCCGCCGCGGU
rnacentral:rRNA from 1 species